CUCAUUUUUCUCUUGCCGCCACCACGAAAGAAGUGCCUUUUGCCUCCCGUCAUGAUUCUGAGGCCUCCCCAGCCAUGUGGAACUGUUUGAGGCACAGAGCUGUAUAUACAAUAACAGUGAAAUUGAUCCCACUACUAAUUAUGACAAAAAUGAUCUUCCACGUAAACAGGUGGUGAAGCUCCUUAUGGUCCUGACCCUACAGUUCCUGUCCCAUGACCAGGGCCAGAUCACCAAGGAGCUGCAGCAGUUCGUCGUCAGUGGCAGCCCCAUGCGAGCACCCGAGGAAGGGCUGUGACCGUCUAUGACAAGCCAGCAUCUUUCUUUCAAGAGACCUCUGGACCUGCAGCACCAACUCUUCAUGAAGCUGGGCGGCACGCACUCUCCGUUCAGGGCCUGAACCUGAGGACCCAGACACGGAGCGGUCGGCCUUCAUGGAGCGGGAUGCUGGGAGCGGGCUGGUGAUGCGCCUCCGCGAGCGGCCAGCCCUGCUGGUCAGCAGCACAGGCUGGACAGAGGACGAAGACUUCUCCAUCUGCUGGCAGCUUUAGAAAAGUUUGAACAACUGACUCUUGAUGGACACAACCUUCCUUCUCUCGUCUGUGUGAUAACAGGCAAAGGGCCUCCGAGGGAGUAUUACAGCCGCCUCAUCCACCAGAAGCAUUUCCAGCACAUCCAGGUCUGCACCCCUUGGCUGGAGGCCGAGGACUACCCCCGCUUCUAGGGUCGGUGGAUCUGGGUGUCUGUCUGCACACGUCCUGCAGUGGCCUGGACCUGCCCAUGAAGGUGGUGGACAUGUUCGGGUGCUGUUUGCCUGUGUGUGCCGUGAACUUCAAGUGGCAGGAGCAGAACCCGAAUCUUUCUGGGGAUAGCUUCACAGAUCCACCGCUGAGGAGGAAACAGUGCAGAGCGAGCUGCCCACAGUGAGGCCCUGCUCCUGGUUUACAUGAGCUGGUGAAACAUGAAGAAAAUGGCCUGGUCUUUGAGGACUCAGAGGAACUGGCAGCUCAGCUGCAGGUGCUUUUCUCAAACUUUCCUGAUCCUGCGGGCAAGCUAAACCAGUUCCGGAAGAACCUGCGGGAGUCGCAGCAGCUCCGAUGGGAUUAGAGCUGGGUGCAGACUGUGCUCCCUUUGGUUAUGGACACAUAACUCCUGGGCCAGAGGCUAAAACCCCGGGACCCCUGCUGUCCUUCCCACAGCUUCUUCUCAGAGUCUCAGGGCAAAUCCUUUCGAGCAGCGCCUCCCAGUGGCCAGAAGCUGAAAUGAUGGCAGUAGUGCCACCUGGUGAAUGAAUUGGUUCUGUGACCCGGGAAGCUGUGCUUGGCUCUGAUUUCUUUUCUGGAGGCUCGGAAACACUUCCUCUCUUCUUCUGUUCUUCACGCCCCAUGCCCCUGCUAGCGUAUUACUGUUCUGUGACUUCCCUGUGACCUCUGCAGUACUCCUCAUCCUGCGUUUGGUCUCCAGGUGUCACCUUUCUGCC